ensembl:lncRNA
UGUGCUGGUAUGGAGUGCAGCGCAUAGCCUAACAUUGUUUUUUUUCUUUGUAUUUUUUAAAAGAAAAAUAAAGCAUCAGUGACCUCCAGGAACAGUGGCCUUUCCUUUUCAUCAAGUUAUGGCUCUGCGACCACUUCAAUACCCUCACUGGCAUCGUGAUUGACAGUCGCCUGACUCAAGCUCUCCUGAACAAGGGUCACUGCAAUUCGGGUUGAUGUCGAGGCUCAAACUCCUUUGCCAGACACACCAAGGCUGAUCAUGCUUGGAAAUACUCUAUUGGGUUCCUCAAAAUGGAUGGUGUCAAUUGAGGGGAGAGUGGUCGGUGUUUUGGACAGUGAGUCCAACUUUGCUGCUGCCCUCUGUGCUCUUCAGCACUUUCUAUGUUUUAACAUAGCAUACCAGGAGUCGGCCUUUGCAACCUUGCAGCUGAUACAGAGGUAAGCAUUGAACAUUCAUUGAUCCAACACUUACAUUCAGCAUUUUUUUGUUACAUUGGAAUGAUAUUUCUUAUUGUUAUCUUUUCAAUGCCUCAAUUGAUUUAAUAUAGUCUAUGUUGCGUUGUGCAGGUUCCAGGUUUGAAUAAACCCUGAAGGAACCAAAUGCACAGCGAAAGCAGGAGUAAGCCGCAAGACCAGAAAGGUUGUUCCGAAGAAUCCAUUGCCAAUUAACCCACGUUACACGCUUUCACGCAGACCUGAAGGAGUUUGAGUGGAAAAACUCCAACCUGUAAGUACACAAACACCUGAUGAACACAAACUUUAUUUGUCAGUUGUCAUUUGCCUUUAUAUCCAGCGAGUAAUAU